rnacentral:rRNA from 1 species
AUUUGAAGGGGGCUGCUCCUAGUACGAGAGGACCGGAGUGGACGAACCUCUGGUGUACCGGUUAUGACGCCAGUCGUAUCGCCGGGUAGCUAUGUUCGGAAGAGAUAAACGCUGAAAGCAUCUAAGCGUGAAACUCGCCUUAAGAUAAGAUUUCCCGGAGCCUUGAGCUCCUUGAAGGGUCGUCGAAGACCACGACGUUGAUAGGUCAGGUGUGGAAGCGCAGUAAUGCGUUAAGCUAACUGAUACUAAUUGCCCGUACGGCUUGAUCCU